rnacentral:rRNA from 1 species
GACGAACGCUGGCGGCGUGCUUAACACAUGCAAGUCGAACGGAAAGGCCCUGCUUUUGUGGGGUGCUCGAGUGGCGAACGGGUGAGUAACACGGGAGUAACCUGCCCUUGACUUUGGGAUAACUUCAGGAAACUGGGGCUAAUACCGGAUUGGAGCUCCUGCUGCAUGGUGGGGGUUGGAAAGUUUCGGCGGUUGGGGAUGGACUCGCGGCUUAUCAGCUUGUUGGUGGGGUAGUGGCUUACCAAGGCUUUGACGGGUAGUCGGCCUGAGAGGGUGACCGGCCACAUUGGGACUGAGAUACGGCCCAGACUCCUACGGGAGGCAGCAGUGGGGAAUAUUGCACAAUGGGCGGAAGCCUGAUGCAGCAACGCCGCGUGCGGGAUGACGGCCUUCGGGUUGUAAACCGCUUUCGCCUGUGACGAAGCGUGAGUGACGGUAAUGGGUAAAGAAGCACCGGCUAACUACGUG